rnacentral:rRNA from 1 species
CGGCGGACGGGUGAGUAACACGUGGGUAACCUGCCUGUAAGACUGGGAUAACUCCGGGAAACCGGGGCUAAUACCGGAUGGUUGUUUGAACCGCAGGUUCAGACAUAAAAGGUGGCUUCGGCUACCACUUACAGAUGGACCCGCGGCGCAUAGCUAGUUGGUGAGGUAACGGCUCACCAAGGCGACGAUGCGUAGCCGACCUGAGAGGGUGAUCGGCCACACUGGGACUGAGACACGGCCCAGACUCCUACGGGAGGCAGCAGUAGGGAAUCUUCCGCAAUGGACGAAAGUCUGACGGAGCAACGCCGCGUGAGUGAUGAAGGUUUUCGGAUCGUAAAGCUCUGUUGUUAGGGAAGAACAAGUGCCGUUCAAAUAGGGCGGCACCUUGACGGUACCUAACCAGAAAGCCACGGCUAACUACGUGCCAGCAGCCGCGGUAAUACGUAGGUGGCAAGCGUUGUCCGGAAUUAUUGGGCGUAAAGGGCUCGCAGGCGGUUUCUUAAGUCUGAUGUGAAAGCCCCCGGCUCAACCGGGGAGGGUCAUUGGAAACUGGGGAACUUGAGUGCAGAAGAGGAGAGUGGAAUUCCACGUGUAGCGGUGAAAUGCGUAGAGAUGUGGAGGAACACCAGUGGCGAAGGCGACUCUCUGGUCUGUAACUGACGCUGAGGAGCGAAAGCGUGGGGAGCGAACAGGAUUAGAUACCCUGGUAGUCCACGCCGUAAACGAUGAGUGCUAAGUGUUUAGGGGGGUUUCCGCCCCUUAGUGCUGCAGCUAACGCAUUAAGCACUCCGCCUGGGGGAGUACGGUCGCAAGACUGAAACUCAAAGGAAUUGACGGGGGCCGCACAAGCGGUGGA